CGAAAUGGAGGAGAAUAGGGGAUACGGAGAAAACUUACCUGACAAGUAUUUUCAAACAAACUUCUCCUUUCCUCGGGAAACCUGAAAAUUCUACUUUCACGCUUACCUAACAAGUAUGUGUACUAGAAAAUUAAUUUUGAAUUCGUUAAUUUCUUUAUUUGUUUUUUAUCUUGAUCUUGCGUUGUCUAUUCCUCAUUUCUUUAGUUUUGUACCUGCAUAAUUUGAUUUUCUUUCAAUGAUAUUGUUCCUUAAGAGUUAAUUUUGUUAUUCUCAUUUUUACGUUUGAUUAAGCGUAAGGGUAAAAUUUUCAAGUUUCCCGAGGAAAAGUGAGGUUUGUUUGAAAAUACUUGUCAGGUAAGUUUUCUCCGUAUCCCCUAUUCUCCUCCAUUUCGCAUUGUUCUUCAUUCUUCUCUUUUAUAUUUGAGUGUUAUUUGUUCACUGCGUGUAUCUAGUAGAUAAUGAAUUUUCAAUCCUUUGAUGUCAUUGUCUUUUUUAGAACUCUAUGUUGUGUUUUCUAUUUUUCAUUUCUUUAGUUUCUUAUCAAAAAAAUUUUAUUUACUUUCAAGUACAUUGUGGUUUUAAAAUUUGAUCUCUACUCCUUUCUCUACCUUGCUUUUAGCGUAAGGGUAGAAUUUUUAGGUUUCCUCUAGUUCAGAGAAGGUUAUUAGGAAUUAGUUCUUCCAUAAGUUUUCUCCAUGUUCCCUAUUCUAUCAAAUUUUGCAUUGUUAUUCUUAUUUAUUUUUUAUGUUUUCGUGUUAUAUGUUUACUAUAUGUGUGUUCUAGAAAAUUAAUAUUGAAUCAAAUAAUUUCUUUCUUUGUUUUUAUCUUGAUGUUGCGUUGUCUAUUCCUCAUUUCUUUAGUUUCGUAUGGGCAGAAUUUGAUUUCCUUUACAACAUAUUAAGCCUUAAGAGUUAAUUUUCUAAUUCUCGUUUUUACAUUUGAUCUCUACACUUUUCGCUACCUUCUAUAAGCGUAAGGGUAGAAUUUUCAAGUUUCUCGAGGUAAAGAGAAGUUUAUGGGGAAAUACUUGUCAGGUAAGUUUCCUCCGUAUCCCCUAUUCUCCUCCAUUUUGCAUUGUUCUUUAUUAUUCCCUUUUAUGUUUGAGUGUUAUUUGUUGACCGCUUGUGUGUAGUAAAGAAUUAAUUUUCAAUCCUUUGAUUCCUUUGUUUGUUUUUAAAAGCUUGAUGUUGUGUUUUUUAUUCCUUAUUUCUUUAGUUUCGUAUCAGAAUAAUUUGAUUUAUUUUCAAGGACAUUGUGGUUUUAACAUUUGAUAUCUACUCCUUUCUCUAUCUUGCUUUAAGAAGAAUGGUAGAAUUUUCAGGUUUUCCGUGGUAAAGAGAAGUUUAUUGGGAAUUANNNNNNNNNNNNNNNNNNNNNNNNNNNNNNNNNNNNNNNNNNNNNNNNNNNNNNNNNNNNNNNNNNNNNNNNNNNNNNNNNNNNNNNNNNNNNNNNNNNNAACAGUGCAAAAUUUGAGAGAAUAGGGAAUACGGAGGAAACUUAUUCAAGAACUAAUUCCCAAUAAACUUCUCUUUACCACGAGAAACCUGAAAAUUCUACCCUUAUGCUUAAUGCAAGGUAGAGAAAGGAGUAGAGAUAAAAUGUUAAAACCACAAUAUCCUUAAGAGUAAAUAAAAUUAUUCGGAUACGAAACUAAAGAUAUGAGCAAUAGAAAACACAACAUUAAACUUUUAAAAACAAACAAAGGAAUCAAAGGAUUGAAAAUUAAUUCUAUACUACACACAAGCGGUCAACAAAUAACACUCAAACAUAAAAGAGAAUAAUGAAGAAGAAUGCAAAAUGGAGGAGAAUAUGGGAUACGGAGGAAACUUACUUGACAAGUAUUUCCUCAUAAACUUCUCUUUACCUCGAGAAACUUGAAAAUUCUACCCUUACGCUUAUAGAAGGUAGCGAAAGGUAUAGAGAUCAAAUGUAAAAACGAGAAUUACAAAAUUAACUCUUAAGGCUUAAUAUGGUUGAAAAGGAAAUCAAAUUUUGCCGAUACGAAACUAAAGAAAUGAGGAAUAGACAACGCAACAUCAAGAUAAAAACAAAGAAAGAAAUUAUUGGAUUGAAUAUUAAUUUUCUAGAACACACAUAUAGUAAACAUAUAACACGAAAACAUAAAAGAUAAAUAAGAAGAACAACGCAAAAUUUGAGAGGAUAGGGAAUAUGGAGAAAACUUAUCGAAGAACUAAUUCCCAAUAAACUUCUCUUGACAAGGGGAAACCUAAAAAUUCUACCAUUACGCUUAAAGUAAGGUAGAGAAAGGAGUACAGAUCAAAUUUUAAAACCACAAUGUACUUGAAAGUAAAUAAAAUUUUUUUGAUAAGAAACUAAAGAAAUGAAAAAUAGAAAACACAACAUAGAGCUCUAAAAAAACAAUGAAACCAAAGGAUUGAAAAUUCAUUAUCUACUAGAUACACGCAGUGAACAAAUAACACUCAAAUAUAAAAGAGAAGAAUAAAGAACAAUGCGAAAUGGAGGAGAAUAGGGGAUACGGAGAAAACUUACCUGACAAGUAUUUUCAAACAAACUUCUCUUUUCCUCGGGAAACCUGAAAAUUUUACUUUCACGCUUACCUGACAAGUAUGUGUGUACUAGAAAAUUAAUUUUGAAUUCGUUAAUUUCUUUAUUUGUUUUUUAUCUUGAUCUUGCGCUUGUCUCUUCCUCAUUUCUUUAGUUUUGUACCUGCAUAAUUUGAUUUCCUUUUAACGAUAUUGUGCCUUAAGAGUUAAUUUUCUUGUUCUCAUUUUUACAUUUGAUCUCUACUCCUUUUGCUCCAUUCAAUAAGCGUAAGGGUAGAAUUUUCAGGUUUCCCGAGGAAAAGAGAAGUUUGUUUGAAAAUACUUGUCAGGUAAGUUUUCUCUAUAUCCCCUAUUCUCCUCCAUUUCGCAUUGUUCUUCAUUCUUCUCUUUUAUAUUUGAGUGUUAUUUGUUCACUGCGUAUAUCUAGUAGAUAAUGAAUUUUCAAUCCUUUUAUUUCAUUGCUUUUUUUAGAGCUCUAUGUUUUGUUUUCUAUUUCUCAUUUCUUUAGUUUCUUAUCAAAAAAAUUUUAUUUACUUUCAAGUACAUUGUGGUUUUAAAAUUUGAUCUCUACUCCUUUCUCUACCUUGCUUUGAGCGUAAGGGUAGAAUUUUUAGAUUUCCCCUUGUCAAGAGAAGUUUAUUGGGAAUUAGUUCUUCGAUAAGUUUUCUCCAUAUUCUCUAUUCUCUCAAAUUUUGCGUUGUUCUUCUUAUUUAUCUGUUAUGUUUUCGUGUUAUAUGUUUACUAUAUGUGUGUUCUAGAAAAUUAAUAUUCAAUCCAAUAAUUUCUUUCUUUGUUUUUUAUCUUGAUGUUGCCUUGUCUAUUCCUCAUUUCUUUUGUUUCGUAUCGGCAGAAUUUGAUUUCCUUUCAACCAUAUUAAGCCUUAAGAGUUAAUUUUCUAAUUUUCGUUUUUACAUUUGAUCUCUACACCUUUCGCUACCUUCUAUAAGCGUAAGGGUAGAAUUUUCAAGUUUCUCGAGGUAAAGAGAAGUUUAUGAGGAAAUACUUGUCCAGUAAGUUUCCUCCGUAUCCCCUAUUCUCCUCCAUUUUGCAUUGUUCUUCAUUAUUCUCUUUUAUGUUUGAGUGUUAUUUGUUGACCGUUUGUGUGUAAUAGAGAAUUAAUUUUCAAUCCUUUGAUUCCUUUGUUUGUUUUUAAAAGUUUGAUGUUGUUUUUUCUAUUGCUCAUAUCUUUAGUUUCGUAUCCGAAUAAUUUUAUUUACUCUCAAGGACAUUGUGGUUUUAACAUUUGAUCUCUACUCCUUUCUCUACCUUGCAUUAAGCAUAAGGGUAGAAUUUUCAGGUUUCUCGUGGUAAAGAGAAGUUUAUUGGGAAUUAGUUCUUGAAUAAGUUUCCUCCGUAUUUCCUAUUCUCUCAAAUUUUGCACUGUCUACUGUAUGAGUGUACGAAAAAAUUACUUUUGAACCCGUUAAAAAAACAAAAAAUGGUAAACGAACUAAUUCCCAAUAAACUUCUCUUUACCUACAAAAACUUAAAAACUCAAACCCUCUUCUUAACGCUCGGUAUAGAUAGGAGUAUAGAUCAAAUGUAAAAACAAAAAUUUCCUUGAAAGUAAAAAUUAUUAUUCGGAUACUAAUCNAAAGAUAUGAGCAAUAGAAAAAACUACAUCAACUUUUAAUAAACAACAAAGGAAUCAAAGGAUUGAAAAUUAAUUCUCAAUUACACACAAACGGUCAACAAAUAACACUCAAACAUAAAAGAGAAUAAUUAAUAACAAUGCAAAAUGGAGGAGAAUAUGGGAUACGGAGGAAACUUACCUGACAAGUAUUUCCCCAUAAACUUCUCUUUACCUCGAGAAACUUGAAAAUUCUACCCUUACGCUUAUAGAAGGUAGCGAAAGGUGUAGAGAUCAAAUGUAAAAACGAGAAUUAGAAAAUUAACUCUUAAGGCUUAAUAUGGUUGAAAGGAAAUCAAAUUCUGCCGGUACGAAACUAAAGAAAUGAGGAAUAGACAACGCAACAUCAAGAUAAAAAACAAAGAAAGAAAUUAUUGGAUUCAAUAUUAAUUUUCUAGAACACACAUAUAGUAAACAUAUAAUACGAAAACAUAAAAGAUAAAUAAGAAGAAUAACGCAAAAUUUGAGAGAAUAGGAAAUAUGGAGAAAACUUAUCGAAGAACUAAUUCCCAAUAAACUUCUCUUGACAAGGGGAAACCUAAAAAUUCUACCAUUACGCUUAAAGUAAGGUAGAGAAAGGAGUAGAGAUCAAAUUUUAAAACCACAAUGUACUUGAAAGUAAAUAAAAUUUUUUUGAUAAGAAACUAAAGAAAUGAAAAAUAGAAAACACAACAUAGAGCUCUAAAAAAAACAAUGAAACCAAAGGAUUGAAAAUUCAUUAUCUACUAGAUACACGCAGUGAACAAAUAACACUCAAACAUAAAAGAGAAGAAUAAAGAACAAUGCAAAAUGGUGGAGAAUAGGAGAUACGAAGAAAACUUACUCGACAAGUAUUUCCAAACAAACUACUCUUUUCCUCGAGAAACCUUAAAAUUCUACUUUCACGCUUACCUGACAAGUAUGUGUGUACUAGAAAAUUAAUUUUGAAUUCGUUAAUUUCUUUAUUUGUUUUUUAUCUUGAUCUUGCGUUGUCUAUUCCUCAUUUCUUUAGUUUUGUACCUGCAUAAUUUGAUUUUCUUUCAACGAUAUUGUGCCUUAAGAGUUAAUUUUCUUGUUCUCAUUUUUACAUUUGAUCUCUACUCCNNNNNNNNNNNNNNNNNNNNNNNNNNNNNNNNNNNNNNNNNNNNNNNNNNNNNNNNNNNNNNNNNNNNNNNNNNNNNNNNNNNNNNNNNNNNNNNNNNNNAGUUCUUGGAUAAGUUUCCUCCGUAUUCCCUAUUCUCUCAAAUUUUGCACUGUCUACUGUAUGAGUGUACGAGAAAAUUACUUUUGAACCCGUUAAAAAAACAAAGAAAGGUUAACGAACUAAUUCCCAAUAAACUUCUCUUUACCACGAAAAACCUAAAAAUUCUACCAUUCUUUUUAAAGCAAGGUAGAGAAAGGAGUAGAUAUCAAAUGUUAAAACCACAAUGUCCUUGAAAGUAAAUCAAAUUAUUCUGAUACGAAACUAAAGAAAUGAGGAAUAAAAAACACAACAUCAAGCUUUAAAAAAAAAACAAAGAAAUCAAAGAAAUCAAAGGAUUGAAAAUUAAUUCUCUACUACACACAAGCGGUCAACAAAUAACACUCAAACAUAAAAGAGAAUAAUGAAGAACAAUGCAAAAUGGAGGAGAAUAGGGGAUACGGAGGAAACUUACCUGACAAGUAUUUCCCCAUAAACUUCUCUUUACCUUGAGAAACUUGAAAAUUCUACCCUUACGCUUAUAGAAGGUAGCGAAAGGUGUAGAGAUCAAAUGUAAAAACGAGAAUUAGAAAAUUAACUCUUAAGGCUUAAUAUGGUUGAAAGCAAAUCAAAUUUUGCCGAUACGAAACUAAAGAAAUGAGGAAUAGACAACGCAACAUCAAAAUAAAAAACAAAGAAAGAAAUUAUUGGAUUCAAUAUUAAUUUUCUAGAACACACAUAUAAUAAACAUAUAACACGAAAACAUAAAAGAGAAAUAAGAAGAACAACGCAAAAUUUGAGAGAAUAGGGAAUAUGGAGAAAACUUAUCUAAGAACUAAUUCCCAAUAAACUUCUCUUGACAAGGGGAAACUUAAAAAUUCUAUCCUUACGCUUAAAGCAAGGUAGAGAAAGGAAUAGAGAUCAAAUUUUAAAACCACAAUGUACUUGAAAGUAAAUAAAAUUUUUUUGAUAAGAAACUAAAGAAAUGAGAAAUAGAAAACACAACAUAGAGCUCCAAAAAAAACAAUGAAAUCAAAGGAUUGAAAAUUCAUUAUCUACUAGAUACACGCAGUGACCAAAUAACACUCAAAUAUAAAAGAGAAGAAUAAAGAACAAUGCAAAAUGGUGGAGAAUAGGAGAUACGAAGAAAACUUACUCGACAAAUAUUUCCAAACAAACUACUCUUUUCCUCGAGAAACCUUAAAAUUCUACUUUCACGCUUACCUGACAAGUAUGUGUGUACUAGAAAAUUAAUUUUGAAUUCGUUAAUUUCUUUAUUUGUUUUUUAUCUUGAUCUUGCGUUGUCUAUUCCUCAUUUCUUUAGUUUUGUACCUGCAUAAUUUGAUUUUCUUUCAACGAUAUUGUGCCUUAAGAGUUAAUUUUCUUGUUCUCAUUUUUACAUUUGAUCUCUACUCUUUUCGCUACAUUCUAUAAGCGUAAGGGUAGAAUUUUCAGGUUUCCCGAGUAAAAGAGAAGUUUGUUUGAAAAUACUUGUCAGGUAAGUUUUCUUCGUAUCCCCUAUUCUCCUCCAUUUCGCAUUGUUCUUCAUUCUUCUCUUUUAUAUUUGAGUGUUAUUUGUUCACUGCGUGUAUCUAGUAGAUAAUGAAUUUUCAAUCCUUUGAUUUCAUUGUUUUUUUUUAGAGCUCUAUGUUGUGUUUUCUAUUUCUCAUUUCUUUAGUUUGUUAUCAAAAAAUUUUUAUUUAC
rnacentral:lncRNA from 1 species